GGGAUAAAGUUGUUGGUGGCGUUUUCUGUUUUUGUUUUUUCUAUGUGCCAAAAGAUGUUUGUGGCUGGUGGCUGAGCUCGGUGCAGAUGCCUACGCUGACUUGCUUGGCUCUUCCCUGCACAGCACUGCAGCAGAAGCAAGCAUCUGCGGGAAGGACUGAUGUCACCUCUCCUGAAUUCUUGACACCCCAAAAUGUGCAGACUGUGGCUCUCCAGGUGAGCAGGUACACGUGUUUUUCUCUGGGCGAUCAGCAAUCCAUCAGGAAAUUGGGAGUGGGAGGUGUGCAGGCAGGCUGAUUCUGCAAAGCUGCCUGCUAAAGCCCUGAUUACGGUUAUCAAGUGAAGAAGCAGUCCAGUUUAAGCUGCUAAGGUUUCUGACGAGCAACAGGUUAUAACGAGGGAAGGCAGAGGGAUGUGUGAAUGAGCGCCUGCAGACUCUGGUAAAGAGUGGAUUACACCGAAGGUACGUUCCAGGGAAGGGACUGCAUAUUUCAGAGCAAGGCAGCAAAUGGGCUUAGAAAUAAUCUGAAUUUUACCCCUGCCCCCUCCCAUUCCAACCCAGACAGAGUGUGGGCAGCAGAAAUUUACUGGGGGAUAAAGCUAAUGCAGGGACUUGUAAUGUGCCUGUGGGCAUUAUAAGUGCCCAGGGCAGCUCUUUCCCUGGGGUGAAUGUGUGGCAGUUUCCCCUGAGGCCGCUGGCUGAGCCACCACACAUCUAUAGCAAGGCAAAGCUGGGUGGGUUUGGGGUGGGAUGACUUCAGUCACCAUGACUUCAGUCCAAAUCCCACGUAGCUGGAGGUGCCUGUCCCAGCAACUGCAGUCUAGGAAUUGAUUUGGUUUAUGGCACUGUGAAGUCUCCAAAUGGGUCAAAAUCCAGGAAUAAGGCUAAUUUUUUGUUGUUCUUCUUACAUCAUGCAAGUGAGCUUAGCAAUGUCAAGAUACACCCUUUGCAACCAGAGGUAAAGCAGUGCCCUUUGCUGCCAGAGGUCUGUGCGGGGCUUGUGCCCUCCUGAAGCAGAGGAGGGAUGUGGCAUCCCUCCCUCUCUGCCAAGCCUUUGAGCAAGCACUGAUACAUUUGUAAAGAGCGUGUGAUAAGCUCUAGAAAUGCCACUUUGAAAUCAAACCCAGAGAAGUGUGAACUGCCUCAGCCAAAAGUAUUUCACCUUGGUCACUCGAUAGGGAAGGAGGAAUUUCCAACAACAGGAAGAAAACCAAGGUGACCUGGCCCACCAUGAAGCUCCGGUGGGGAAGGAGCCCUUCUGCUCCCUGCAGAGCCUCUGCUGCUGCCUUGGCCAGUGGUACAUCUCCCCUUCUGAUGGGAAGGGUGGCUCUGAGCAGGCGGCAGACCUCAGGGUGCAUCAGAAGUAUCCAUGACAAGGCAUGGGGUGCUGCAGCUGUCGAUAGCUCAGCCUGCUGCUGGUCCCUGCACUGAGCAUCAUUGUGCUGCUUGCUUGCGGUUGAGAAAUGGCCCCAUACAAACUGUCAGAAGCACACUGUCAGAAGCAACAUCCUCCUGAACUGGAUGGGAAUUUCAGCUCUGAUACGACUCUGUCUGUUGCUGGCAUUGUGUGCGGACUGUCACAGCCCUGAGAAGCGGGGCUUUAAUACACUCCACGCAUGGUGUCACCCUACUGGAAAGAGGCUCGUCAGAACACGGCAUGUCACUUGUCACGUCACGGGGAGCAGAUGAAACCCUAUUAUCAGUACACCGUCUACAGGCUUCCGCUGCAUCAGAAAGCAGCUCGUCAGUGCAGUGUGUACAAAGGUGUCACCCGUUUCUGUUGAGCAGCACGCGAGUGGUGGGCACUGUGGGAUUAGCAUGAGAAGUAGGAGCAGAGGGUGAGGGAGCAGCUUGGGGCUUUGCUGGGGGCAUCCUACAUAUAAGGGGGCAGGCAGGGAUGGAGGGGUCACCCCAAGACCAGGGUCUGGUUUGAUUCUCUUGUGCCAGAUUGGAGGGUGCCAAGCCCAAACAAGCUGCUUGGUGGAGGCUGAAGGAGGCCAGAGACAUGCCAAGCACCUAUGGGCGAUACACUGCUUGAUUGGGUUGUGAUGUUGCUCCUGCAUAUAGGAUUUGGCCUGUGUCAUGCAGAGCUCAUGGUCUGGGGUCCAGUACCUGCUGCUUGGUCCAGUGCUGAUACCCAAAUCCUCACUCUGAGAGCAGGCACAGCGUCACUCCAUGGACCAAGCUCUGCCUGAUUCCUGCCGCCCACCCUCCACGGACCUUUCCCUUCCUGGGUCCCCACUGCCCCCAGCGCCACUCGGCUCAUUUCUCUCACGGCGUACACUAAUCCUCUCUCCCUCUGAUAGUUCCUUUCCCCGAAGCAGCCUCGGAAACCCAGGUGCUGCCCCCCCGCUCCCUCCCCAGCCCACAGAAAAGAGAUGGCGAACGGCUUUCUCUUGAUUGUGUCGAUGGGAGAUGAUUUUCAAGGUGAAAUUUCUAGUUCAGUUGAGUCACUUUCAUUCAAGGCGAUGAGCAAAAUGUCACCCCCACACUGAACCACACUCAAUGCGCCGCUCUCCUAUUGCAUUUAAAUUUACUCCACUUUUCCUUUCUGACACCUGUUUAAAUCAAUAUCUUCCUCUCCAGGUCGUGGGCAGAAUGUGCCUGGUCUCUCCGCACAGCGCUUCUCAAAUCCACUAAAAUCAACACAAUAAUUGAAAUAUUUUCAAGCUGAUUACACCGCUGCCUGAGGCUAGGCUGGUUGCUAAGGCUGUGGGGACAAGCAGAUGAAGAGAGGAAGAACUGUCUGUUCCAUUAGAGGAUCUCUCAGCUUGGCUAAACACUCUCUAUUUACUCCAAACACAGCAUGAUGGGGAGCUACAAGGAUCUAAUAGCCUUGAAAAUGUAGAAUUGCACCAAUUACAGUUCCCAUCCAGCCCACGGCUCACAAGACACCAGCUGAAAUCACGGGGCCGAAUCCUGCUCCUGGAUCCACGGAGUGCAAAUCUGGAGGGUUUCCAUCCUGCGGAAGGAUUUCUCUGAAUUUCUCCUGGCCGCAUGAGAGCAGAGCCCCACUCCCCAGCACAGAGGAGCUCCGGCGUGUGCAGGGCAGGUUGCUGGUGGAGCAGGAGCGCCUGAUGCGUUAUUAAUAGGAAAGCAGUAUGCGGGGCAAAUCCGUGCACCGCGGAUGUUUUCAGGAGCUUCAGCUCCUCCCGGGCUGCCAUUAUUCUCUUGCCCUCACCCAGGAGCUGGUUGUGCUGUUAUCGCCGUGGGUCCUCCUUCCAAAAAAACUCAGAAAUUACCGUAACCGGGAAAUCUGUCACAACCACACAGCCAGGGCCAGAGGUGCAAGCAGCUUUUUGGCUGCUUGGGCUGGAAAACAACCAGCAGUCCGCGAUGUUCCUGAAGCGUGAGGGGAGGAGAUGUGGCAUGAAGCCUUUCUGCACCCCAAAACCUUCCACUGGUCCUCCCGACUGCACUCGGCUUCCCCUGCGCUGCCCAGCAUCCUGCUUUUUAGGGAAUCUGAGGCACAAAAGGUUAGUCCAGCUGGUUGCCUGAGAUCGUGCAGCGUCCCAUCCAGACACCUUUAUCCCCCUGCUGGAUGUAGCAUUACCUGGGGGAGACACAUACAGCAGAGCCCUGGCUCCUAAUCCACUGCAACAAGCCCGUCUUCCUUUCUUACUGAACCAAUUUCAGGUGUGAUCCAUAAGGGACAGACAAAAUCCCUAUGUAAAUGUUGUAAACCCUGUAGUCACAGCUCAUGCAUUGGCAGCAUCUCCUCUGCCACAUUGCUUUGUCCCUGGGCUGGAAAUAGGGACCGAAGCACUGCGAAGUGAGGGCUGUCAAGAGCUUGAGAGAAGUCGAUGAGAGAGGAGCAUCAAAAUCCUCAUUUCAAAUGAGGAGCUGGUGACGCACGUCUUCAUUAGCACAAAUGAGCCAGUCCAGGCUGGGCCCUGCAUGGCCUGUGGAGAGCAUCCCUGCCCUAAACACGCUCAGCUCAACUUUUCCCUCCGAGCUGUGCCAGCCACAGUGGGGCUUUGUAGGGUUUUCGGUCAAUGUACAGAAUCACACAGGGCACGGAGGUGUAGGAUGAGCAGGAAACCCUUGUAAACCUGGAGGGCAUGCUUCUUCCAGCCUGGCUUUCUGCUCAUGUCCUUGUUCCCCAAAGUCUGCAGGCAGGAUUCCCCUGCAGGACAUCCACACCCGUGCUGCGCGUUUAGUGGGGAACGCCUGCAGCAUUAAGAGCGCUGCGACUGAAAUGAUUAAUUGUUUAAUAUAUUGCAAGCUGGUUACCCCUCCUGGAUCUGCCAGGUAACAAAUGGAGUCGACGGAGAUCUCACAGUGGCGAGCUCCUUGUUUGAGGUUUAGCCAGCAAGCAUCGUUGCUUUGAGGUUAGAAAUAGGGCCGGGGCAGGAUGCAGGGCUUCGCUGUGCUGCUGUGGCUGGGAGCAGAGCCCAGAGGGCAGAUGAGGGCAGAUGCUUCCUCAGAGCUUUUAUGUGUUCUUAUAGUAUUUGCGAGGACCUGAAAUCAAGCCAGAAGUGUGUGCGUAGACCAACACAUUCUGUAUCUGAAACACCACGAUCACGCUCAGGGGAUACGAUGUGGUGUUUCAUUUGCACGCAGAACUUACUUAAAAAUCCAUAUUAAGUAUAAUUUCUAUUU